UCACAUUUUGGAAGUACAAAGAUUAAGGCAAUUUCAAGUAACUUUGCUCCAUAUCAAGACCAAUAUGUAGUGGAAGAUGUGAAAAAGGUUGGAGAUAAUGCAGUGAUGUGUCAUAGAUUGAAUUUUGAAAAGGUAGUAUUCAAUUGCCACCAAGUGCGUGAUACAACCGCUUAUGUGGUCUCAUUGGUAGCCUCAGAUGGAACUAAAACUAAGGCUUUAAUAGUCUGCCACCAUGACACUAGAGGUAUGAAUCCUGAGUUGCUUUAUGAAGCACUCGAAGUUACUCCUGGAACUGUCCCUGUAUGUCAUUUCAUUGGCAAUAA